rnacentral:rRNA from 1 species
UACGUAGGGUGCAAGCGUUGUUCGGAAUUACUGGGCGUAAAGCGCGCGUAGGCGGAUUGGAAAGUCGAUUGUGAAAUCCCUGGGCUCAACCUAGGAAUUGCAGUCGAAACUCCCAAUCUUGAGUGCCUGAGAGGAUGGCGGAAUUCCCGGUGUAGUAGUGAAAUACGUAGAUAUCGGGAAGAACACCUGAGGCGAAGGCGGCUAUCUGGCGGUGCACUGACGCUGAGGCGCGAAAGCGUGGGGAGCAAACAGG